AACGAACGCUGGCGGCAUGCCUAACACAUGCAAGUCGAACGAGACCUUCGGGUCUAGUGGCGCACGGGUGCGUAACGCGUGGGAACCUGCCCUUAGGUUCGGAAUAACUCCCCGCAAGGGGUGCUCAUACCGGAUAAUGUCUUCGGACCAAAGAUUUAUCGCCUUUGGAUGGGCCCGCGUUGGAUUAGCUAGUUGGUAGGGUAAAAGCCUACCAAGGCGACGAUCCAUAGCUGGUCUGAGAGGAUGAUCAGCCACACUGGGACUGAGACACGGCCCAGACUCGUACGGGAGGCAGAAGUGGGGAAUAUUGGACAAUGGACGAAAGCCUGAUCCAGCAAUGCCGCGGAAGUGAGGAAGGCCUUAGGGUUGUAAAGCUCUUUUACCCGGGAUGAUAAUGACAGUACCGGGAGAAUAAGCACCGGCUAACUCCGUG
rnacentral:rRNA from 1 species